rnacentral:rRNA from 1 species
GACGAACGCUGGCGGCGUGCUUAACACAUGCAAGUCGAACGGUAAGGCCCUUCGGGGUACACGAGUGGCGAACGGGUGAGUAACACGUGGGUGAUCUGCCCUGCACUUCGGGAUAAGCCUGGGAAACUGGGUCUAAUACCGGAUAGGACCACUGCCUGCAUGGGUGGUGGUGGAAAGCUUUUGCGGUGUGGGAUGGGCCCGCGGCCUAUCAGCUUGUUGGUGGGGUGAUGGCCUACCAAGGCGACGACGGGUAGCCGGCCUGAGAGGGUGACCGGCCACACUGGGACUGAGAUACGGCCCAGACUCCUACGGGAGGCAGCGGUGGGGAAUAUUGCACAAUGGGCGCAAGCCUGAUGCAGCGACGCCGCGUGAGGGAUGACGGCCUUCGGGUUGUAAACCUCUUUCAGCACCGACGAAGCGCAAGUGACUGUAGGUGCAGAAGAAGGACCGGCCAACUACGUGCCAGCCGCCGCUGUAA